AUUGCUUAUCAGUUAGACCACCUGUAGCAGCAGAUUAAUUGAUUCCUUCAAUCAGAUAGACACCAUAAUCAAAACACAAAGUGCGACGACUGAGAGAGCCAAACAAUACAAAACAAACGACGACCAGAGAAAAGCCGAAAAUAAAAGUUUUUCCAAAACUAUAUAUCUACGGAAGACAAGAGAACUUCGCGUUAGACCAAAAAUAAACCCAAUUUCCCGAGCGAUCCGUGG
ensembl:ncRNA lncRNA:CR45747 long non-coding RNA:CR45747